UUAAGUUAUUAAGGGCGCACGGUGGAUGCCUUGGCACUAGAAGCCGAUGAAGGACGUUACUAACGACGAUAUGCUUUGGGGAGCUGUAAGUAAGCUUUGAUCCAGAGAUUUCCGAAUGGGGAAACCCAGCAUGAGUUAUGUCAUGUUAUCGAUAUGUGAAUACAUAGCAUAUCAGAAGGCACACCCGGAGAACUGAAACAUCUUAGUACCCGGAGGAAGAGAAAGAAAAUUCGAUUCCCUUAGUAGCGGCGAGCGAAACGGGAAGAGCCCAAACCAACAAGCUUGCUUGUUGGGGUUGUAGGACACUCUAUACGGAGUUACAAAGGACGACAUUAGACGAAUCAUCUGGAAAGAUGAAUCAAAGAAGGUAAUAAUCCUGUAGUCGAAAAUGUUGUCUCUCUUGAGUGGAUCCUGAGUACGACGGAGCACGUGAAAUUCCGUCGGAAUCUGGGAGGACCAUCUCCUAAGGCUAAAUACUCUCUAGUGACCGAUAGUGAACCAGUACCGUGAGGGAAAGGUGAAAAGCACCCCGGAAGGGGAGUGAAAUAGAACCUGAAACCGUGUGCUUACAAGUAGUCAGAGCCCGUUAAUGGGUGAUGGCGUGCCUUUUGUAGAAUGAACCGGCGAGUUACGAUUUGAUGCAAGGUUAAGCAGUAAAUGUGGAGCCGUAGCGAAAGCGAGUCUGAAUAGGGCGUUUAGUAUUUGGUCGUAGACCCGAAACCAGGUGAUCUACCCUUGGUCAGGUUGAAGUUCAGGUAACACUGAAUGGAGGACCGAACCGACUUACGUUGAAAAGUGAGCGGAUGAACUGAGGGUAGCGGAGAAAUUCCAAUCGAACCUGGAGAUAGCUGGUUCUCUCCGAAAUAGCUUUAGGGCUAGCCUCAAGUGAUGAUUAUUGGAGGUAGAGCACUGUUUGGACGAGGGGCCCCUCUCGGGUUACCGAAUUCAGACAAACUCCGAAUGCCAAUUAAUUUAACUUGGGAGUCAGAACAUGGGUGAUAAGGUCCGUGUUCGAAAGGGAAACAGCCCAGACCACCAGCUAAGGUCCCAAAAUAUAUGUUAAGUGGAAAAGGAUGUGGCGUUGCCCAGACAACUAGGAUGUUGGCUUAGAAGCAGCCAUCAUUUAAAGAGUGCGUAAUAGCUCACUAGUCGAGUGACACUGCGCCGAAAAUGUACCGGGGCUAAACAUAUUACCGAAGCUGUGGAUUGUCCUUUGGACAAUGGUAGGAGAGCGUUCUAAGGGCGUUGAAGCAUGAUCGUAAGGACAUGUGGAGCGCUUAGAAGUGAGAAUGCCGGUGUGAGUAGCGAAAGACGGGUGAGAAUCCCGUCCACCGAUUGACUAAGGUUUCCAGAGGAAGGCUCGUCCGCUCUGGGUUAGUCGGGUCCUAAGCUGAGGCCGACAGGCGUAGGCGAUGGAUAACAGGUUGAUAUUCCUGUACCACCUAUAAUCGUUUUAAUCGAUGGGGGGACGCAGUAGGAUAGGCGAAGCGUGCGAUUGGAUUGCACGUCUAAGCAGUAAGGCUGAGUAUUAGGCAAAUCCGGUACUCGUUAAGGCUGAGCUGUGAUGGGGAGAAGACAUUGUGUCUUCGAGUCGUUGAUUUCACACUGCCGAGAAAAGCCUCUAGAUAGAAAAUAGGUGCCCGUACCGCAAACCGACACAGGUAGUCAAGAUGAGAAUUCUAAGGUGAGCGAGCGAACUCUCGUUAAGGAACUCGGCAAAAUGACCCCGUAACUUCGGGAGAAGGGGUGCUCUUUAGGGUUAACGCCCAGAAGAGCCGCAGUGAAUAGGCCCAAGCGACUGUUUAUCAAAAACACAGGUCUCUGCUAAACCGUAAGGUGAUGUAUAGGGGCUGACGCCUGCCCGGUGCUGGAAGGUUAAGAGGAGUGGUUAGCUUCUGCGAAGCUACGAAUCGAAGCCCCAGUAAACGGCGGCCGUAACUAUAACGGUCCUAAGGUAGCGAAAUUCCUUGUCGGGUAAGUUCCGACCCGCACGAAAGGCGUAACGAUUUGGGCACUGUCUCAACGAGAGACUCGGUGAAAUCAUAGUACCUGUGAAGAUGCAGGUUACCCGCGACAGGACGGAAAGACCCCGUGGAGCUUUACUGUAGCCUGAUAUUGAAAUUCGGCACAGCUUGUACAGGAUAGGUAGGAGCCUUUGAAACGUGAGCGCUAGCUUACGUGGAGGCGCUGGUGGGAUACUACCCUAGCUGUGUUGGCUUUCUAACCCGCACCGCUUAUCGUGGUGGGAGACAGUGUCAGGCGGGCAGUUUGACUGGGGCGGUCGCCUCCUAAAAGGUAACGGAGGCGCUCAAAGGUUCCCUCAGAAUGGGUGGACAUCAUUCAUAGAGUGUAAAGGCAUAAGGGAGCUUGACUGCGAGACCUACAAGUCGAGCAGGGUCGAAAGACGGACUUAGUGAUCCGGUGGUUCCGCAUGGAAGGGCCAUCGCUCAACGGAUAAAAGCUACCCCGGGGAUAACAGGCUUAUCUCCCCCAAGAGUUCACAUCGACGGGGAGGUUUGGCACCUCGAUGUCGGCUCAUCGCAUCCUGGGGCUGUAGUCGGUCCCAAGGGUUGGGCUGUUCGCACAUUAAAGCGGUACGCGAGCUGGGUUCAGAACGUCGUGAGACAGUUCGGUCCCUAUCCGUCGUGGGCGUAGGAAAUUUGAGAGGAGCUGUCCUUAGUACGAGAGGACCGGGAUGGACAUACCUCUGGUGUACCAGUUGUCGUGCCAACGGCAUAGCUGGGUAGCUAUGUGUGGACGGGAUAAGUGCUGAAAGCAUCUAAGCAUGAAGCCCCCCUCAAGAUGAGAUUUCCCAACUUCGGUUAUAAGAUCCCUCAAAGAUGAUGAGGUUAAUAGGUUCGAGGUGGAAGCAUGGUGACAUGUGGAGCUGACGAAUACUAAUCGAUCGAAGACUUAAUCAA
rnacentral:rRNA from 1 species